CUUGUUGCUGCCUUUCAUAGUGUGGACGAGGACAUGCCAAGAACAGGAAACACAAGAGAGUCAGCCGUCCGAGCUUCACAGGGCCCGUAUCAGCUGAACCCAUAUUCAGCCCAACGCUGCCUCCAAAUCUCCUCGUCCUCUCCUCCGCCUGCUGGGACCAGUAGGCAGCGCAUCGCCUGCUACUGGGACCUUUCGGCAGCAGCAGCCAGGCCUCAUCCUGCCGCACAUAUGUGUGCACCAGGACAUGCCAGGAACAGGAAACACAAGAGAGUCAGCCAUCCAAGCUUCACAGGGCCCGAAUCAGCUGAACCCAUAUUCAGCCCACCGCUGCCUCCAAAUCUCCUCCUCCUCUCCUCCGCCUGCUGGGACCAGUAGGCAGCGCAUCGCCUGCUACUGGGACCUUUCGGCAGCAGCAGCCAGUGUGCACCAGGACAUGCCAGGAACAGGAAACACAAGAGAGUCAGCCAUCCAAGCUUCACAGGGCCCGAAUCAGCUGAACCCAUAUUCAGCCCACCGCUGCCUCCAAAUCUCCUCCUCCUCUCCUCCGCCUGCUGGGACCAGUAGGCAGCGCAUCGCCUGCUACUGGGACCUUUCGGCAGCAGCAGCCAGCACAUGUCACUGCAUUUUCAGCACCUUUCAUAUGCAGUGCAGUGCUGUUGCCCUGCUAGGCGCCCUCCUGUGGACAAGACAGGCAAUUGAUUGUCACAACCUUGAAAGGUAUAGAGAGCAUGGAAUGCCAUGGCUGCCCCAAGUGAUGAAGAGGAUUCCAGGGAAGACUGAAAAGCACACGCGGAACAAGGUCUUGGUGCUGGUCAGCUCAGUGGGACUUAUCAUGAAUAAGGAUUUUGUGUCCUAUGAGAAACUGAAGGACCUACUCCUGGAGCUGAAGAUGACACAGGCAGAGCUCCAAAAGUACAGGAUCCUUUCCACAUCAGUUUGUGAAAAAGUUUUCGGCUUCACUCUCUAUAAGCUCCACUACGAUAUCCUUUAUCGAAUGGGGAACCCAAAACCCCAUACGGAGAAAAAGUUGCCUCCAGAUCUUCCCCUGGAGAUGGAGGAAGAGGAUGCACCUGUACUUGAAGAGGAUGAGGAACCUGACCUAUUGCAGACGAGAGCUGUGUACAUGCCCGCUCAAACCAGCAGACACUGGACACAGCAGGAAGAGGGAUUUAUCAACCUUGAUCCAACAAUCUCCACUGGCGUGGCAUACAAGGAGUAUGUCGGACAAUGCAAAGCAGCAAGACUACCUGCAAGGUCGUACAAGGGCUUUGGGAGAAAGCGAAGAGACCUUCUCAGGAAUGAAUAGAAUACCUGUCUCCAGCUCUCCCUCCUAGGUCAACAAAGGCACCCAUCUGCUGCUGCUGCCCCUUUGAGAUGGCAGCAUCCUGGGAGAAACGGAACCUGCUUGACUUCCAGGUGUGAGAACUUGCAAGUGUCCAGAAUCAGGAGAGAUUGGGGGACCCACUUUAGCAGGAUCAUCUGUGAAUAGACUGGAUAGAAAUAAGUUCUUCUUCUAUCAGUUAUUAUUUAUUCUGUUCAUUAUAGAAUCAGCUACUGUUCUGCCAGACCUGAGAAACAUGUUCCCAGUUCAGUUCACAUCUUACUUACACUGACAACUUUGUUUUGGC
ensembl:lncRNA